AUUGAACGCUGGCGGCAGGCCUAACACAUGCAAGUCGAACGGUAACAGGAAGAAGCUUGCUUCUUUGCUGACGAGUGGCGGACGGGUGAGUCAUGUCUGGGAAACUGCCUGAUGGAGGGGGAUAACUACUGGAAACGGUAGCUAAUACCGCAUAAUGUCGCAAGACCAAAGAGGGGGACCUUCGGGCCUCUUGCCAUCGGAUGUGCCCAGAUGGGAUUAGCUAGUAGGUGGGGUAACGGCUCACCUAGGCGACGAUCCCUAGCUGGUCUGAGAGGUUGACCAGCCACACUGGAACUGAGACACGGUCCAGACUCCUACGGGAGGCAGCAGUGGGGAAUAUUGCACAAUGGGCGCAAGCCUGAUGCAGCUAUGCCGCGUGUAUGAAGAAGGCCUUCGGGUUGUAAAGUACUUUCAGCGGGGAGGAAGGGAGUAAAGUUAAUACCUUUGCUUAUUGACGUUACCCGCAGAAGAAGCACCGGCUAACUCCGUG
rnacentral:rRNA from 1 species